GGUCUUAUGGUCUAGUGGUAUGAGUACGUUAAGAUAUCAUGUUCUCAAGCAUCAAAAAUAAUACUAAUUAUCCUCAGUUCUCGCUUAGGGUUCACCUGAGCAUCUUGCGAGAGGCCCCGCGUUCGAAUCGCGGUAAGACCC